rnacentral:tRNA from 1 species
GCCCAGGUGAUGGAAUGGCAGACAUGUAACGUUUAGGGCGUUAUGCUAGCAAUAGCGUGGAGGUUCAACUCCUCUCCUGGGCA